rnacentral:misc_RNA from 1 species
GUGAAUCAUCGAAUUUUUGAACGCAAAUUGCACUUUCUUCGGAGAGUAUGCCUGUUUGAGGGUCAGCCUAUAAAAAAUCGACAUCGUUGCUGUUUCGCGGUGGCGUUCGUAGGAAAUUGGGUCAUCUUAAAUUCUUUUGAUUUAAGCGACUUAAAAUUUUCCUUUGGUUUCAUGAAUGUUUCUAAGAUCUAUUUAUUUACACGUUAACGGUAUCGUUUUUUACUAGACGUGACCACCAUAUUGGAUCGUGUCAUUAAUCUUUCAUUAACUGAACUUAGAAAGGUAAGAGUCCCCGC